rnacentral:sRNA from 2 species
GCAUGUAACACGCUGAGUCCUGCAGCAGCAGGAACGGGGGAACCAACGAAACGAAGCGCGCGUAAGCACGCUUUCGCUUCAUGGGGUGAAUCGCUUGGCAGCAGCCAAGCGUAGGGCAGCUCUCUAGGUCCGAAUCCGGCAGCUAACCUCGUAAGCGCACUCGAGAGAGGCA